GAUAGGUUAAGUUAAUAAGGGCGCAUGGUGGAUGCCUUGGCACUAGAAGGCGAUGAAGGACGUGACUAACUACGAUAUGCCUCGGUUAGCUGUAAGUAAGCUUACCCGGGGGUUUCCGAAUGGGGCAACCCGAUCUUAAUGAUCAUCAUCUUUUUGAAUUCAUAGAUUAGAUGAAGCAAACGCUGUGAACUGAAACAUCUAAGUAGCAGUAGGAAAGUAAAGAAAUUUCGAUUCCGUCAGUAGCGGCGAGCGAACGCGGAAGAGCCCAAACCUGGAUGCUUGCAUCCAGGGGUUGUAGGACUGAUGUUGAGUUACAAAGGUAUAAGAUAGCAGAAACAGUUGGGAAGCUGUUCCAAAGAGGGUGACAGGCCCGUAUGCGAAAUCUUGUACUCUCUAAUCAGGAUCCUGAGUACGGCCCAGCACGUGAAAUUGGGUCGGAAUCUGGGAGGACCAUCUCCCAAGGCUAAAUACUAACUAGUGACCGAUAGCGAACAAGUACCGUGAGGGAAAGGUGAAAAGAACCCCGGAAGGGGAGUGAAAUAGUUCUUGAAACCGUGUGCUUACAAGAAGUUCGAGGCCGUUAAUGGCUGAGAGCGUGCUUUUUGUAGAAUGAACCGGAGAGUUACGAUUGCGUGCAAGGUUAAGG
rnacentral:rRNA from 1 species